rnacentral:lncRNA from 1 species
GCUCUGUAAAGGUUCAUUUGGUUUGAAGUGAAUUUUAGCCGUGUGUUUCCAUGUUGAAACCACACGGUUAAACUUUGUUUCAAAUCCAAAGUCAGAAGGGGAAUGAAUGGCAUUGAAUUCAGUCCGUUUAAUCCCCAGGUAUUUGUUUCCAAUUCCCUUAUUUUUAUCUUUAUCUGUUAGCUUUUGUUUCAAUUGCAUUGUUCUUCUUCUCCUUCUUCAUUUCUAUAUUGACUAUGUUAAUUGAACCAAGUCUUGAGAGUAGCUCGUCAGUGUUUGAAUUUGCUUAUUUUUUUUUAAUUCCUUCAAAUAUUUGAGCUGCUUAAUUGAGUCGUUUAUUGAAUCGAACUUUUAUAUUGAUUAAAUGUCAUUAAUUGGUUAUUACCUUUUCUACCAAUCUGCACCAAUUGUUGAUCAAUUUAGGAGUUUGUUUUAACUGAUGAAUUGGAGUUAAUUCACUGAAUUAAAACUGCUAAUGGAAGCCAUGUAUGUUCAAGCAUGCUUGAACUAAUUAAUUCAGUCUGCCCAUACUUAAAUGAGUUGAAUAAUGUUGGACACUCAGUGUUGGCUGCAGAGAAUAAAACAAACACUUUAGACUUUAAAAAACUGAAAAGAAUUACAUCUGAAAAGGUAUAUGAAUUGAGUGCGUGUUUUAAAAUCUUUAAGAAUAAAGAAGCAUGUGGGCUGUCAGGAGAAUAUACCUCUUUUGAAUUUGUGAGUGAAAAAACAGAGAGGAUAACAUGGAUCUGAUCAGUUUUUAAAUAGGUUGACCGGCUGUAAGGAUGGUUUUAGUUUGGUUAUAUAAGAGAAAUUUCAGAACAGUUGAGGAGAGCUUUGUUGUUGGAUAUUAGUUCAAGGACUUUGAAAACAAAAAAGAACUACUGCUCAUUGCUUUCUCUUCUAAGUUCUGUUGUCAACUUUCUAUUGAUUUUGGUUCGAGCUAUUCUAUGAUCUUGUUGUUUGAUGUUGUUAUCUACUGCUACUGCUGUUUUCUUCCUACUGAUCUUCACUUUCUUCCUUUGCUUUCCAAAUAUCAGGUACGCAUAUUAAAUGCACUGGCUCCCUGUAAGCUGAAAGUCAAAACAUGAAUAUAGAAAUGAAGAAGUUGAAGUUGUUUCUUUAAUAUUUGCCUUAGUCUGUAUAUCGAACAUUAAAGUUAUAUCUAUAAUAGUUUCAUAUUUUCUUUUUGAAUCAUAUAGGUGUUUGUCCAAGUAUAACUGGACAUUUGUAGUAGUUUUAGUGAAACUGUCCAUGUGUGUUUAAUUAUUGGCGUAAUAUUUCUUGUCUUGUUAUCGUAAUAGUAUUAGUUAACAGUAUGCAUAUCAAAAGCAUGAUAGGUGAUUUUAGAUUGUCUUGAAUAUCAAGUAAUGUAAUCCAUUCCAUUUAGCUAGUGGCCCGUUUAAAUUUGUAGUAUCAUUGUUCAAGUUAGUUAGAACUU